GAGAAGAACACAGAGACCCAAGGUCAGAGGUCUGCUCAGAGCCAUUAACCUAAAACAUCAGGGAGAAGAACACAGAGACCCAAAGUCAGAGGUCUGCUCAGAGCCAUUAACCUAAAACAUCAGGGAGAAGAACACAGAGACCCAAGGUCAGAGGUCUGCUCAGAGCCAUUAACCUAAAACAUCAGGGAGAAGAACACAGAGACCCAAGGUCAGAGGUCUGCUCAGAGCCAUUAACCUAAAACAUCAGGGAGAAGAACACAGAGACCCAAAGUCAGAGGUCUGCUCAGAGCCAUUAACCUAAAACAUCAGGGAGAAGAACACAGAGACCCAAAGUCAGAGGUCUGCUCAGAGCCAUUAACCUAAAACAUCAGGGAGAAGAACACAGAGACCCAAAGUCAGAGGUCUGCUCAGAGCCAUUAACCUAAAACA